rnacentral:rRNA from 1 species
GAUGAACGCUGGCGGCGUGCCUAAUACAUGCAAGUCGAGCGAAGCGUGCACGGGUGAGUAAAACGUGGAUAACCUCCCAUAUGAGUGGGAUAACUUCGUGAAACCGGAGCUAAACCGGAUACUUAUACUUUGAUCGACGCUGCAUUAGCUAGUUGGUAAGGUAACGGCUUACCAAGGCAACGAUGCAUAGCCGACCUGAGAGGGGGAGGGGCCACACGGGAACGGAGAAACGGUCAAGACUCCUACGGGAGGCAGAAGUAGGGAAUCUUCCGCAAUGGGCGAAAGCCUGACGGAGCAACGCCGCGGGAGUGAUGAAGGUCUUCGGAUCGUAAAACUCUGUUAUUAGGGAAGCGGUACCUAAUCAGAAAGCCACGGCUAACUACGUGCCAGCCGCCGCGGUAAUAC